UUACUUACCUACCGUUGAGGCUACCGUGAUCAACAAGGCGGCUCCUCCGGAGAGAGGCCUCUUACUUACCAUUGCACUACGGUUUGAGGCUGACCUCUGAGAAUAUCUCUAACGUAGAUAUGCCUAACGUAUAAUUUUUGGUAGUCGGGACUGCGUUCGCGCUGUCCCGC
rnacentral:snRNA from 1 species